GAAGCAACGCGAAGAACCUUACCAACUUUUGACAUGUCCCGUAUGGAUUUCAGAGAUGAGAUCCUUCAGUUCGGCUGGCGGGAACACAGGUGCUGCAUGGCUGUCGUCAGCUCGUGUCGUGAGAUGCUGGGUUAAGUCCCGCAACGAGCGCAACCCUCGGCCUUAGUUGCCAUCAUUUAGUUGGGCACUCUAAGGCGACUGCCGGUGAUAAGCCGGAGGAAGGUGGGGAUGACGUCAAGUCCUCAUGGCCCUUACAGGUUGGGCUACACACGUGCUACAAUGGCGGUGACAGAGGGACGCAAAAGGGCAACCUUUCGCAAAUCUCAAAAAACCGUCUCAGUUCGGAUUGGGGUCUGCAACUCGACCCCAUGAAGUUGGAAUCGCUAGUAAUCGCAGAUCAGCACGCUGCGGUGAAUACGUUCCCGGGCCUUGUACACACCGCCCGUCACACCAUGGGAGUUGGCUUUACCUGAAGGCGGUGCGCUAACCGGCAAUGGGAGCAGCCGACCACGGUAGGGUCAGCGACUGGGGUGAAGUCGUAACAAGGUAGCCGUA
rnacentral:rRNA from 1 species